rnacentral:rRNA from 1 species
UAUAGAAUUUUAUACUAAUUUAUUUUAAUACUUAAUAUAAAAUUUAAAUUAGUAUUUGAUUGGGAGGAUUAUUAAAUUUAUAAAACUUUUUAAAUUAUGUAAACUUUAAUUUAAGAAAUUAUAAUGAUCUUUAAUUUAAAAUAUUUAGAAUAAAUUACCUUAGGGAUAACAGCGUAAUACUUUUUUAUAGACCACAUAGAAAAAAGUGAUUGCGACCUCGAUGUUGAAUUAAGAUAAAUUUUAAACGCAGGAGUUUAAUAAUUAAGUCUGU